CCUUCGGGUCGCCGGAGCAGCGUCUCUACUGCCGCCUUUCUCGCCCUUCCGAGGGCUGGCCCCGCGCUCCCGGGCCUGAGGGACCCAUGCCGGGCUCGCGGCGCCGCCCACAGACCCCGACGGGGCCUUCCGCUCCGCCUCGGCAACCGGUACGUCGAGGACAGCCUGCCGUAGAUCUUGCUGAGGAGACGCUUGAAGGCCCAGGUGUUUACUGAAGUGAGAAAGGAUUUGCAGCUGUUUGGAGCCUGAGUGGCAGAUGAAACCGACUUGGAGACUUCUGGGGUACAUAUGAGUUACAACCCAGAGGCUGCUGCAUGAUGCCCAGAUAGCACACAGGCCACCUCCACACUCGGAGAGCUGAGGAGAUCUCAGGUAAAGGGUCCCUAAUCACUGAGUGAUGAGGCUUGUGAGAGAACAUACACUGACUGGUGGGGAGGCCUUGCUGGAGGUUUCAACUUCAAAAGCCAGGCUGGGAUUACUCAGUUGCUCUUCCCCCUACCUCCUGAGGGACCCUAAAUUGUAUUUAAGCAGACCCAUGUCCCUACCUAUAACUGAGUAUGCCAGAGGAAUUCAGCCAUGCCUCUCUACGUAAGCUAUAAAGAACUAAUUAACCACAC